CGUGGGUUUACUCUCGGGGUUCAGUUUGGCUCAAAACGGUGUCCAGCUAAAUGAUAUAGUCAGACGAGUAGAGACACCUUCAGGACGAAUUACACUUUAUUUAGACACGGUGACCACAGCGGAAAGGUGCGUUGAAAUAUCCACCAUCCAGGACUUUAAGGUGAUCAAUGUCCAAGAUGCUGUGGUCAUGAUCUACGAUUACUAUGAGCCCCGACGGAGGACAGUGCGGUCCUACACAUCUGAGACAAGACGGGACAUGUCUGUGUGUUCGCUGUGUGGGCCGGAUUGCUCCGAGUGUGGGGUUCGAGACGUCUGGCCGACUGACAGGACGACGUCCAUUAACCAACAUCCAAUUCUGGCUCUAAGUUUGACCACAGCACUGGUCAUCCUGUCAAUCUACAACUAGUGUUUUUUCCUAAAUCAAAACCAUUGUAAUCAGUAACACAAUA